rfam:Gossypium hirsutum cultivar TM-1 chromosome 8, whole genome shotgun sequence
AGCCCAUGUUGAGGAAACCUUCUCAGAAGAUCCUUAAAUCUCUCCCAUGCAUCAUACAAUGUCUCUAGUUGAGGAAAAGAAGAGAUGUCAUUCUUGAACUU